UGGGGAAUAUUGGACAAUGGGCGCAAGCCUGAUCCAGCCAUACCGCGUGGGUGAAGAAGGCCUUCGGGUUGUAAAGCCCUUUUGUUGGGAAAGAGAUCCAGCUGGUUAAUACCCGGUUGGGAUGACGGUACCCAAAGAAUAAGCACCGGCUAACUUCGUGCCAGCAGCCGCGGUAAUACGAAGGGUGCAAGCGUUACUCGGAAUUACUGGGCGUAAAGCGUGCGUAGGUGGUCGUUUAAGUCUGUUGUGAAAGCCCUGGGCUCAACCUGGGAACUGCAGUGGAAACUGGACGACUAGAGUGUGGUAGAGGGUAGCGGAAUUCCUGGUGUAGCAGUGAAAUGCGUAGAGAUCAGGAGGAACAUCCAUGGCGAAGGCAGCUACCUGGACCAACACUGACACUGAGGCACGAAAGCGUGGGGAGCAAACAGGAUUAGAUACCCUGGUAGUCCACGCCCUAAACGAUGCGAACUGGAUGUUGGGUGCAAUUUGGCACGCAGUAUCGAAGCUAACGCGUUAAGUUCGCCGCCUGGGGAGUACGGUCGCAAGACUGAAACUCAAAGGAA
rnacentral:rRNA from 1 species